rnacentral:rRNA from 1 species
UACGUAGGCGGAAAGUUAAGUCAGUAGUGAAAUCCUGCAGCUUAACUGUAGAACUGUUAUUGAUACUGGUUUUCUUGAAUAUAGUUGAGGUAAGCGGAAUGUGUAAUGUAGCGGUGAAAUGCUUAGAUAUUACACAGAACACCGAUUGCGAAGGCAGCUUACUAAGCUAUGAUUGACGCUGAGGUACGAAAGCGUGGGGAGCGAACAGGAUUAGAUACCCUGGUAGUCC